rnacentral:rRNA from 1 species
ACGUAGGGUGCGAGCGUUAAUCGGAAUUACUGGGCGUAAAGCGUGCGCAGGCGGUGAUGUAAGACAGAUGUGAAAUGCCCGGGCUCAACCUGGGACCUGCAUUUGUGACUGCAUCGCUAGAGUACGGUAGAGGGGGAUGGAAUUCCGCGUGUAGCAGUGAAAUGCGUAGAUAUGCGGAGGAACACCGAUGGCGAAGGCAAUCCCCUGGACCUGUACUGACGCUCAUGCACGAAAGCGUGGGGAGCAAACAGGAUUAGAUACCCUGGUAGUCCACGCCCUAAACGAUGUCAACUGGUUGUUGGACGGCUUGCUGUUCAGUAACGAAGCUAACGCGUGAAGUUGACCGCCUGGGGAGUACGGCCGCAAGGUUG